rnacentral:rRNA from 1 species
GGCUCAGGACGAACGCUGGCGGCGUGCCUAAUACAUGCAAGUCGAGCGGACAGAAGGGAGCUUGCUCCCGGAUGUUAGCGGCGGACGGGUGAGUAACACGUGGGUAACCUGCCUGUAAGACUGGGAUAACUCCGGGAAACCGGAGCUAAUACCGGAUAGUUCCUUGAACCGCAUGGUUCAAGGAUGAAAGACGGUUUCGGCUGUCACUUACAGAUGGACCCGCGGCGCAUUAGCUAGUUGGUGGGGUAAUGGCUCACCAAGGCGACGAUGCGUAGCCGACCUGAGAGGGUGAUCGGCCACACUGGGACUGAGACACGGCCCAGACUCCUACGGGAGGCAGCAGUAGGGAAUCUUCCGCAAUGGACGAAAGUCUGACGGAGCAACGCCGCGUGAGUGAUGAAGGUUUUCGGAUCGUAAAGCUCUGUUGUUAGGGAAGAACAAGUGCGA